CGAGAGGCAAAUGCGAGAUUGAUCAAGGUUAACACUGGCGGACUGAAAUCGUGCGGAAGAAGAUGAUGAAGAAGACAUGACCAAAAAUGAUGAGGAAGAGGAAAAAGUGGGAGUGUUUGGUGACGAGGAUAGGCAAUUAGGGGCGUUUUCGUCAAUUUCUCAAAAAUUUAAUUAGCUUAUUAUUGACAUUGUUUUAUUUAUGCCUACAACCAAAAUAAUUGUAAAGUCACACACACAAACAACACAAUAAUAAAUUCUGUUUUUAUCAAUAAUAAAACCAAUUAAAAUGAUAAA